CCGCAGGGGAGCGAAGCCGGGAGAGCGGAAAGGCGGAGACAGCUUGAAGUGGAAAGGGAAGGGCCUGGCCAGUUCGGAGGAAACGGGUACACGCCGGCUGUCCGCAAGGACGGAAGGGAAAGGGAGGUGCCCCUUUCAAAGAACCGCUUCUGCUUAUUCCGCUCGCGAUACCUAUUUUCCCCUAUGGCGUCCGAUUGAUUCACUUCAGAUUUGUGAGCGCAAAACCGUGAUGGAAAUUUUAUUAUUCGGCGCUGAAUCUUCACUGAUUCUUUUAAGACCAGGGUUUAAUUCGUGCUAAGCCUGAGCCCGGGCGUCUGACUUCGCAGCGCAGGAUUGAACCCUCGCACACGUGAAGGAACAAUCGAGAGCAGUGACUGUGGCCAUGCGCAGGGGAUCUUUCUCGCGCCGGGCGGGUGGCCCGAAUCAGACAGGCUGGAGCGCUACCCGGGCCAACCGUUCUUUUUUCGGAAAUCCGUCAGUGGCUUGAACGCAUGUUGGGGCAAAGCUCCUUCAGCCCCGUAAAGCGAUGCUGAGGCUUUCUCCUAGUUCCCUUCCCCACAUGCGUGAAAGAAAGAACUGCAGCCGCCCUGGGCUCCUACUGGGAGGAAGGGCGGGAUAUAAAUCUAACAAACAAGGAAACGCGCUUGUAUCAGGCAAUCGAUAGGAUGGCCUUGUGGAAACACGGAUUUACUCUUGCAGCCUUUCUGUGCUGCGUCUUGCAUGCCACCUGUGAACAGAAACGUAGAGUGUGGUUUGGUUUGGGGUUUUUUGUCUUCCACGCGCCACGUCCCCCCCCCCAUCGUGCGCGCAGACACUCCAGUGGAGCAACCUCGCCAUUCUGUAUACUGGUAUCAAUGGGAAUCUUAUUUUCUCUCAUGACCAUGCUGCUACUGCUGCUGCUGCUGGGAACCUAGUCACGACUGCAUUUUUCCUUCUCUCUCCAUUCGCAUUCCAAAUUCCCAAGCACUAGUUGAUGCGUGUGGAGGAGGCCCCUGCUUCGUAUGCGAGCGAUUCCCUUUCUGCUGCUGGGGGAGAGGCGCCAGCAGGCUGGUAAUUCAGAAAAGCAGAGUGCCACACCAUAUUAUGGGAUAGCAUCUGAGUCUGUGAGCAGGACGUUAUGGGCCACAUGCAGGGUAGGCAAGGUGGAGGGGGUGUCUUUUGCCAUAGCUGGAGAAGUGUGUGGUGUACACUGAGAACAGCCGAACUUGUGAAUUGUGGCAAUGCACAUUAACCAAAUGGGGGGAAAUCCCCAAGUGAUUAUUUUAAAAUAGACUUAAAUGCACAGGUGAUUUCAUGUUAUGCAAAUCAAUAGACUCUGCAGAAUACAUUCCAGAUGUUUCAGUUCCAGUUGAUAGUGAAGAACAAUUUAAAAUAUAUGUGAAUAUAACAAAAGAAAGAGGGCCCAGGGGUGUUUUGCAUUCUGUUAAUUAACAGAUCCAGACACGUCCUUUGUGAUCAUAAGCCUUUGGUUUUUCUGACCAUUCUUGCCAUAACAAGACAUGCAGGUUUGGAAGUGCUCCACCUAUCAUAAGAAGCAGAAGAGAAAGUACACAACGAUCUGAUUGGACCCUAAUGAAUUCUAAACCGAGAGAAACAACAGGGAACAGUCGUCUUUCAGCACGACAAAGACUGAGUCACAUCAUAGGGUCACCAUAAGUUGGGAUCGACUUGAAGGCAGUCCAUAGGGGAAAUGCUAUCAGCUCUUGGUUUAUACUAUCGUGCUGCUGACUGCUUUGGACUGGGAACUUGUUGAAGAUAUGGAGCUUCUGAUCACACUUUGGAACCACUUCCCAGUAAAACAAACAUAACAAAUCCUUGCUGUAGGCAAAGGUGGCAUUGGUAACCAGUCAGGUGAUGUUCACUUGGCAUGGAUGCUGGAUCAUGUGCAGCUUCUGUUGAUUACAUUAAAUCUUUUCCAAACAGAGGGAUCCGGGUUUCCUCCUAAGACGUUUAGCUCUUCAGUUGUGGCUCAAGAAGUGGGAAAGGGCACAAAAGCAAACAAGGGCUCUUCAGUGAAGUGGACCAUAAAAACACCUUAAAUCCUGUUACAUGAUCUAUCAGCCACACAACCUGUCAACUCAUGAGACUCUCAUGAGACAGAAACAUGGAUGAGAUGAACAAACUUACUGCAAAGGCAUCUGGUGAUGAGCAUGCAGGUUGUCUGCCAAGGCCAGAAACUUGUUUUUGUGUCAUGAAAAAAAAAACCAUUCUGCCGUGCAGGAGUCCAUCUCAGAAGAUGAAAAGUUCUUUGUAUUGGCCACCACAAGAAUCCACAUCCUGCAGGAAAGCACUGUGAACUUCAAAACUUGCUCGCUUUCCCCAAAGGCCAUAAUACUGUGCAAAGUACACACUAGGGAUGAGGAGAAAAUUAGAUUCCAUUUGCAUUUCAAGCUGAAUCUGUCAAAUUCACACUUUCCGAAAUAAUAUGAGAACUGAAAUACAGCCAUCCUGUGAAGUUUGCCCUUAAAACUAAUUUUGCAGUGCAGUUUGCCAGCCAACGUUUACAAAAAAUGUACAUGUAAGAGAAGAGUGCAUAAAAUGAAUAUAUGAGUGAAAAUAACAUACAAAAAUGCAUUAUAUAAUUUUGCUUGCAAAAAUGUGUACAUUAGUCAAAAACUGCCUACAAAAAUGUGUUUAUUAGGAGAAAUUCACACUAAAAUACUGGAGAAUUUUCAUGAGGAUUUUAAAAAAAGUCAGCAAAUUGCUGCAGAAAUGUGGAGAACUUAAUUUAAGAUUGGAAAAAUGGGAAAUGGAGAGAAUUGAAAUGACACAUUAAGUAAUCAUAGGAAGAAAAGCUUCAUAAUAACAGGAAGAAAAGCUUCAUAAUAUAAAGCUCAAAGUUUUUAUCAUGAUUAGGUUUAAGGCAUUAGUAGUAUCUUUGCCAUUGUUAGUAGUUCAGCUAACUAACCAAGAGUAAACUCUGACAAUUUUCCCCACCAAAAUCUACUGAUGUUCUCUCUAUUUCUAAAAAUAUUUAUAUGCCACUCUCUUACAAUACAUCAGGGUGGUGUACAGCAACAUAAAAGCUGUUACAAGCAGUACAGAACAAUCAUUAAAAUGACUGGCUACUUAGGAAAAUUUUAAACAACUGCAUAGGCCUGUCGGCUUGAAAAAGUCUUCAAGAGAUGUGUGACAGUCAAAAGCAAGGGUGUCUGCUGCAUCUCUGCUGGAAGAGUUUCCACAGCAACAAUAAAUGACUGACUUCUGGCUGAGUCAGGCCUCUGUAACAUGGGGGACAUUGAAAUCUCCAGGGUGAUCUAUAAAUACUAAUUGCUGUUUGCAAAGACAUUCCUCUCCAUUAAAUACUGAGGGAGAAAGUAGUUUAAAGCCAGACUGAACACGUCCUACGCAACUGCAAACUUUCACCUACAGAUGUUUUGCAUGGUUGUCUCCUUAAUGAUUCAGCCAUAAAAAAUACGUCAUCAAUCCAUAGGCAUAGCACUCAUUAAACUGAGAGGAGAACCAUGUUUGUAUGCUCCUUGGAGGACUGGUAGGAUAUAAA